GACGAACGCUGGCGGCGUGCUUAACACAUGCAAGUCGAGCGAGGCCCAUCCUUCGGGGUGGUGCCCUAGCGGCGAACGGGUGAGUAACACGUGGGCAACCUGCCCUCAGCUCUGGGAUAACUCCAAGAAAUUGGUGCUAAUACCGGAUGUGACCGCUGACCGCAUGGUCUGGUGGUGGAAAGAUUUAUCGGCUGAGGAUGGGCCCGCGGCCUAUCAGCUUGNGGUGGGGUCACGGCCCACCAAGGCGACGACGGGUAGCCGGCCUGAGAGGGUGACCGGCCACACUGGGACUGAGACACGGCCCAGACUCCUACGGGAGGCAGCAGUGGGGAAUAUUGCGCAAUGGGCGAAAGCCUGACGCAGCGACGCCGCGUGAGGGAUGACGG
rnacentral:rRNA from 1 species